UACUGUAUUUUUUUUAAAUUUAAUUUACUUUUAAUGAUGAAUAAUAAUAUUGAACCAAAUACUUCUUCAAAUUUUCUCCAAGUUCCUUCUGAUGGAGAUAUACCUCCAUCAAGAUGGAGAUUUGCAGGUAUUAUUCCUAUAAGGCGACAUUCUACUGGAAGUAGACAUGGUGGUAGUUCUCCAGAACCUAGACGGCCUACUAGAAAAUCAACAAUUAUUCCACCUGUUGGGCUUACAACGAAUCAAGAUCCAUUACUUAGAUUACGAGUGGUUGCUGGCCAUUCUCUUGCAAAAAAAGAUAUAUUUGGUGCAAGUGAUCCUUAUGUAAGAAUUGAAUUAAAUACUAUUGUUGGAAAUGUAACAAUAGACUCUGUUUUAACUAAAACUAAAAAAAAGACCUUAAAUCCCGUUUGGAAUGAAGAAUUUGUAUUUCGAGUUCGUCCUCAUGAACAUAAACUAGUUCUACAAGUGUUUGAUGAAAAUCGUCUUACUCGGGAUGAUUUUCUAGGGAUGGUUGAAGUACCAUUAAAUAAUUUACCAAAAGAAAUAAUUGGUAGAAAUAUAUGCAGUGUUCGAUAUGUACUAAAACCUAGAAGUGCAAGAUCAAGAGUAAAAGGUUACCUUGAAUUGUAUCUAGCUUACGUUCCAGAACAUGAACCGGGAACUUCUGGACGUUUGUCUGCUGAUGGAGAAUGGGAAAUGAUUGAAAAUGCUGAAGUUUUAAAUAUUUCCCAUACACCUUCAACUUAUACACCAAAUGUAAUUGAACCACAAGGAGUUUUACCUACUGGUUGGGAAGAACGACAAGAUGCAAAUGGAAGAACAUAUUAUGUAAAUCAUUUAGCUAGAUCUACUCAAUGGGAAAGACCAACAUCUAUGACUGUUCAAACUGAUGCAAAUACAAUUCAAAAUUUGGCUUUGGCAGCUACUGAAUUCGAAAGAAGAUACCAUAUCAGUGUAGAUACACCAGAAACUGAUAAAGGUGAUCCUACCCAGAAAAAGGUUGUUCAUAGUGAUGCAGAUGAUGAAAGUGAUGAAGGAUAUGAAGAGUCUGAUCCACUUACUAACGUUGAUCGUCGUCUUUCCAGUGUAUCGGUUACAGCUAAUCAGAAUCAGAGUGAUGAAGUUGAUUUAAAUAAUGAACAAAGUAGUACUGCUCUGGUUCAAGAAGAUAUUUCAGAAGGAUCUGAAGGUUUACCUAAAGGAUGGUCAAUGCAAGUGGCUCCUAAUGGUCGGACAUUUUUUAUCGAUCAUAAUACUAGAGCUACAACUUGGGUAGAUCCUAGAACUGGUCGAGCAAGUUCUAUGCCUAAUCAAAGUCAACCACCUGUAACAGAUUGUGUAGUUUCUACAUCUGCUUAUAAUGAUGAGUUGGAACCUUUGCCAGAAGGGUGGGAAGAAAGAGUUCAUGCGGAUGGAAGAAUAUUUUUUAUUGACCAUAACACAAGAACAACUCAAUGGGAAGAUCCAAGAUUAAAUAAUCCUAAGAUUGCUGGUCCCGCAUUACCUUACUCAAGGGAUUAUAAAAGGAAAUAUGAGUCUCUCAAAACAAGACUGAGUAAAAUGGCACAUGGACCACCAGCUAAAAUGGAGAUUAAGGUACGACGAUCUAAUAUUCUAGAAGACUCUUUCCGAAUUAUUAAUUCAAUGCAUCCAGACAAAUUAAGAGCAAAACUAUGGGUUGAAUUUGAGCAAGAAGUUGGACUCGAUUAUGGUGGUCUUGCUAGAGAAUGGUUUUUUUUAUUAUCUAAAGAAAUGUUUAAUCCAUAUUAUGGCCUUUUUGAAUAUUCUGCUAUGGAUAAUUAUACAUUGCAAAUUAAUGCAAUGUCAGGUCUAUGCAAUGAAGAACAUCUUCACUAUUUCAAAUUUAUAGGAACUGUUGCUGGUAUGGCUGUUUAUCAUGGAAAACUUUUGGAUGCAUUUUUCAUUCGUCCAUUUUAUAAAAUGAUGUUGGAGAAACCUAUUGAGUUGAAAGACAUGGAAAGUGUUGAUUCUGAGUAUUAUAAUUCACUUCUAUGGAUUAAAGAAAAUGAUCCUUCUGAAUUAGAUUUAACAUUUUCGCUCGACGAAGACAGUUUAGGACAUACAUCACAUAGGGAAUUGAAACCUGAUGGUGCAAAUAUUCAUCUAACACAAGAAAAUAAAGAUGAAUACAUUAGUUUAGUAAUUCAGUGGAGAUUUGUAUCCCGUAUACAAGAACAAAUGAAUGCUUUCCUACAAGGUUUUGGUUCCAUAGUACCUUUAAGCUACAUUAAAAUAUUUGAUGAAAAUGAAAUGGAACUUUUAAUGUGCGGUAUUCAAAAUAUUGAUGUAAAAGACUGGAAAGAAAAUACUCAUUAUAAGGGUGAUUAUUCACCCAACAACAUUGUUAUUCAAUGGUUUUGGCGAGGCGUCUUGUCGUUCAAUAAUGAAAUGAGAUCUAGGCUCUUACAGUUUGUAACGGGUACAUCUAGAGUUCCAAUGAAUGGAUUCAAAGAAUUAUAUGGUAGUAAUGGACCACAGUUAUUUACAAUUGAAAGAUGGGGUACCAAAGAAAAUUAUCCUAGGGCACAUACCUGUUUUAAUAGGUUGGAUCUUCCACCUUAUGAAAGUUAUCAUGAAUUGCGAAACAAAUUAAUUAAAGCAAUUGAAGGCUCACAAGGUUUUGCUGGAGUGGAUUAAUGGAAAUUUUGAAAAUAUAUACAAAAAUACUGGAGUUACCCACUACCAAAUGCAAAUUUAUGUUACAGUAACAUUACCCCUCCAAUGAUCACAUGUGAUAUGACUAUAACAUUAGUGUUAAUUAUAAUAAUCAUUCCAAAGUGGAAUAUUAAAGUUUUUUAAUGUCAUUUCAAAAAUG
rnacentral:misc_RNA from 1 species